rnacentral:rRNA from 1 species
AUUGAACGCUGGCGGCAGGCCUAACACAUGCAAGUCGGACGGUAGCACAGAGAGCUUGCUCUUGGGUGACGAGUGGCGGACGGGUGAGUAAUGUCUGGGGAUCUGCCCGAUAGAGGGGGAUAACCACUGGAAACGGUGGCUAAUACCGCAUAACGUCGCAAGACCAAAGAGGGGGACCUUCGGGCCUCUCACUAUCGGAUGAACCCAGAUGGGAUUAGCUAGUGGGCGGGGUAAUGGCCCACCUAGGCGACGAUCCCUACCUGGUCUGAGAGGAUGACCAGCCCAGCUGGAACUGAGACACGGUCGAGACUCCUACGGAAGGCAGCGGUGGGGAAUAUUGCACAAUGGGCGCAAGCCGGAUGCAGCCAUGCCGCGUGUAUGAAGAAGGCCUUCGGGUUGUAAAGUACUUUCAGCGGGGAGGAAGGCGGUGCGGUUAAUAACCGUACCGAUUGACGUUACCCGCAGAAGAAGCACCGGCUAACUCCGUGCCAGCAGCCGCCGCUG